rnacentral:tRNA from 1 species
CCGCCGCCAGCUCGGCGCGUACCAGCGCGGCGGGGUCGGUGCCCGCGGCCGGGCCGGGGGUCGGUGCCGCGGCCGGUUCGGGGGCCGGCGCGGGGGCC